rnacentral:rRNA from 1 species
UACGGGGGGUGCAAGCGUUGUUCGGAAUUACUGGGCGUAAAGGGCUCGUAGGUGGCCAACUAAGUCAGACGUGAAAUCCCCAGGCUCAACUUGGGAACUGCGUCUGAUACUGGAUGGCUUGAAUUCGGGAGAGGGAUGCAGAAUUCCAGGUGUAGCGGUGAAAUGCGUAGAUAUCUGGAGGAAUACCGGUGGCGAAGGCGGCAUCCUGGACCGAGAUUGACACUGAUGAGCGAAAGCUAGGGGAGCAAACGGG